rnacentral:rRNA from 1 species
GACGAACGCUGGCGGCGUGCUUAACACAUGCAGGUCGAACGAUGAACCCGGAGCUUGCUCCGGUGUAUCAGUGGCGAACGGGUGAGUAACACGUGGGCAACCUGCCCUUCACUUCGGGAUAACCCCGGGAAACCGGGGCUAAUACCCGAUCUGACCUCUGCGGGCAUCCGCGGAGGUGGAAAGUUUUUCGGUGAAGGAUGGGCCCGCGGGCUAUCAGCUUGUUGGUGAGGUAGUGGCGCACCAAGGCGCCGACGGGUAGCCGGCCUGAGAGGGCGACGGGCCACACUGGGACUGGGACACGGCCCAGACUCCUACGGGAGGCAGCAGUGGGGAAUAUUGCGCAAUGGGCGAAAGCCUGGCGCAGCAACGCCGCGUGCGGGAUGACGGCCUUCGGGUUGUAACCGCUUUCAGCAGGGAAGAAGCCGCAAGGUUACGGUACCUGCAGAAGAAGCACCGGCUAACUACUUGCCAGCCGCCGCCGUAA